rnacentral:rRNA from 1 species
CCUACGGGGGGCAGCAGUGGGGAAUAUUGGACAAUGGGGGGAACCCUGAUCCAGCCAUGCCGCGUGUGUGAAGAAGGCCCUCGGGUUGUAAAGCACUUUCAGUGAGGAAGAACGCCUGGUGGUUAAUACCCAUCAGGAAAGACAUCACUCACAGAAGAAGCACCGGCUAACUCCGUGCCAGCAGCCGCGGUAAUACGGAGGGUGCGAGCGUUAAUCGGAAUUACUGGGCGUAAAGCGCGCGUAGGUGGCUUGAUAAGCCGGUUGUGAAAGCCCCGGGCUCAACCUGGGAACGGCAUCCGGAACUGUCAAGCUAGAGUGCAGGAGAGGAAGGUAGAAUUCCCGGUGUAGCGGUGAAAUGCGUAGAGAUCGGGAGGAAUACCAGUGGCGAAGGCGGCCUUAUGGACUGAAACUGACACUGAGGUGCGAAAGCGUGGGUAGCAAACAGGAUUAGAUACCCGAGUAGUC